UGGGAACCCCUUCUCCGCAAAGCCAGUAUGGGAAUCCUCAUGCCAACACGUCAGAUCAACAGCUCCACCGUGACAAUGAUGGCCAGAACUAUACUGGCCUGAAGUUCACUGACAAAAAGAGCACCAAGCCAGGAGACGGAGGGAACAGAGAGAGGAAGAAACCAUCUACUCUGGAUGCCAUUGCAGGAGCCAAGAUUUGCCUAAUUUAAAUGUAAAAUCACUCUGAUGCUGAGCAUAAUUGUUCAGAAAGUGUGACAGCUGAUACGAGGAGGUUUUCAGAAGUCUCAAAUCCUCAGAAAUAGUGGUUGAGGCUGACUGACUGGAUACAUUUGUUUUUGUAGAAGUGUACAACACAAUGUAUAUAAUGAUUUUGAAAAUAUAUAAACUCCUACUUUUGACGAUAAUGGUUGUAAAAUGGACCUUUGUAACCUGCCUUAAUGCUUAUAUGCUAUUUCAAUAAAACACUUAUUUGCACCAGG